GUCGGAAUUGCUAGUAAUCGUAGGUCAGCAUACUACGGUGAAUACGUUCCCGGGCCUUGUACACACCGCCCGUCAAACCAUGAGAGUUGGCAACACCCGAAGUCGGUAGUCUAACCGCAAGGAGGACGCCGCCGAAGGUGGGGUUGAUGAUUAGGGUUAAGUCGUAACAAGGUAUC
rnacentral:rRNA from 1 species